CUUGGGGUUGGGGAGGUACUGCAAGUGGGCUGUGAGAAGAUAGUAAUAGAAUGAAAUGGUAUUUAUUUGAGUUUUACUAUGUGCUGUCUUUGAGUUGCUUUACAGAUUCUGUUUUUACAGAUUUUUUACAGAUUCUGUCAAUUAAGUACUGCAUUGUUGAAUUUUCCAGUUUGUGAUAUGAAUAUAUGCUUGGAAAUACAUUUAUCUGUCUCUCAAGUGUCAGAGUCAUGUAAUGAGAGGUUUGGCGGUCCUGGGAAUAUUUUAGAUAUCAAACUUGAGUGCAGAAUUCUUAAGUGUGGCAAUGGCCAUCCUGAUCCAAAUUAUAAACCACAGCAUUUCAGCUAAUUGGCAUUUUGGCUACAUGCUCACUGAAGUUAACACAUCUUUCAUGUGAAACUGUGUCAACUGGUUUCAUUCUCUGUGACUGCCAAAACUUUGAAAAAACACUGGCUUAAACUAAGGUGUUCCAAAAAUAACAGUCAAGACUCUUACCUGCAAAGCUGAAAUAAAUCUAACUAACACAGAUCUUGGCAAAAGAAAAUUUUCAACAACACAUUUGAAUUUUUUUUGUUUUGUUUGCAAGACAUUUAACACCGUGUUGAUAAACAAAUAAUUCCUCUGUGUAUCUUCUUGUAUUCCUCCUGCUACGUUCUUUUCUUCCCUGGUGCGUAUGAAGACAUGUUCACAACAUGACCUGGGGGACUGAUGCGAUUAGUUCACAUGCAGGCCCAAUCCCAAACUGCUGCCUACACACUCACCCUUCACUACCGAGUGUCACUUGUAAUGAAGUUACACUUGCAGCUGUGGAGUGCGCCUCAUUUGAAAUGGGAGAGUAUAAAGAGACCGGUAGGUAUGGGACACCCUUCUCACUCCACCAGAAAACGCAAAGAUUCAUCACCAUAGCAGCAUAAAGACGCGUCCUGUGCAUGGUAGCGUUUCUUUUCUAAGUAAACGGGCAUCAUGUACAGUUCUGAGCCGCACCUGCUGCCUUGUUUUUUCAUUGUCCAAGUGAAAUCAUAAAUCCAGCAACCAUCACAGUGACAGGAGCUAAAUUAUACUUCUGAUUUUCAAUGAUUCUACACGUCUUUGAACCCCUUAACUAUUUGACAUGUGCCUGAUCAAUCAAAUGCGUAGUUGUGUGUAUGCGUUUGGGUGUGUUCAUGUUGCAACAAGUCAACUGCACUGAGCUCUAUGGCCUGUUUUAAUUCACCUUCUCUUUUGAAUAAGUGCGAGGUGGCCAUCCAAAACCCUAGUGGUGGGUUUUUCUCACAGAUUCUCAGAGUGUCUGUAGUGCCACAGGUGUUUUACUUAGUUCCACCACCCAUGAUUUUGGUUUUCUUGGGCCGCCACAGUAAACUCCAGCUCUAUACAAGUGUUUUUUUUUUGCCAUUUGGCCAUAGUGGAAUUAUUAAGAGUUGCAGUUGAUUUUGAUCUUUUAAUUUUACUGAUCAUUUGUUUAAAAAAAAAAAAAAAAAAAAGACGUUUUUUUAAAAAUGGAUUUUGUACAAACCGUCUCUCGCCCUGUGGUUAUUUCAAACCCGGUGUGUUCUUUCCAUUACAAUUGGUUUAAAUUUUCCUGGGCAUAACUCCCCAGAUGGUGUUAUUCGGCAUUAUAAUAACUUUUCAACCUUCCACUUGCUACAUGUUCAUAUUAAAAACAGUCUCUCCAGCCGCUCCCAAAUCUUUGAAAAGUUUUCUCCCUUGAGAUGCAUAACUAGUGCAUUGUAAAAUUACAUGUGUCACAGUCUCUGACCCUCCACACUCCAACCCUCCUUAUUUCCAACAACAUCCCCCCACUUCCACCGAUUAGGUUGACACUAGAGUGGUUGGAAAUGGUACAUUACAUACUCUUAAGAAUUUUAAUUCCACAAUAUCCCGUACUUUCAGAGUACACUCAUCUACACAAGACUGAAUCAUUGCUCUGCAAAUUAUCAACAAGAUUUCUCUGUCAGCCCCCAGAUCAUUUCCUGCCAGACACCUUAAAACAUUACUUUUUCAAAUUUCACCACCAUUUUCUCUAUAUGUUUUCAGUGUCACUCUGAGAUAUUUAUAACCCCAAAUUCUUUCUAGAGCAUGACCACUGACCAUCAAACCUUUAUCUGGCUUUUUUGAUGGCAUUGGCAUUUGAUACUUUAGACCGCCGUCUGCUUUUAAGUGUUCUUCAACAUAUUGGCCUAUCAAACCAAGCAGCAUCUUGCGCCAAGAUGGCUGGUUCUACUACCUUUCAGGAGGUUUUUAAAGGCGGGCCUCAAGGCUCCAUCUUGGGACCUAGCUUAUUCUUGGUCUAUUAACAAAAUUUAAUCGAGAGCUUAUUGCAUUCACCAAAGUAAACUAAAUCUGCUCUGUUUUUUUCCCCGUUAACAAAAUAAUCAUACUGUUAUAAUUAUACUGUGUUGCCUUGAUUUGUUGUUGUUUUUUUAAUCGAAAUUUUUUUUUUGCUGUUUCUUGUUGCUGGUGUGCAAUUUAAAAAUGAACAAAAUAAAUAAGGGGGAAAGAGCAUGUUUUUUCCAUCCAUAACACCUUCUGAUGACUGAGAUAAUUAUCUCGCCAAUUCAGAAGUACAGAGCAGAUUUUUUUUUAUAUCAAAUAUCAUUUUUGAAAUUUUUUGAGAAUCUUCCAAAAAUAUAACCAAAGCUGUUCUUAAACUGCUUUUGUAUUUGGUGAAAUAUCUGUGCAUCUCAUUCAGUAUUGUUACACAAAGAGAAAUGUUUUUCCAUCAUAACGCGCUGGUGCAUUUCACCUUCGGGGCCACCGGACAGAGCAGAAAGAAGAAUUAGUUUAAGAUGCUCUACAAUGCUCAUUGAGGUACCUUUUAAUUAUACCCAUGCAAACAAACUAACCCCAGCCUGUAGGAAACAUAUACUAAAAGUAUGUCAUGACCUGGCUUAAAGAGCAUGACAAAAAUAACAAAUGACAUAGAGGACAAAAAAUAUCAUAAUUUACAAAAAGUAAUGUUUUUAAAUCAACACAAACAUGUAUCUGUGGCAUGUGUAAAGUGUGUGUUUGUGUGUGUGUGUGCAUGUGUCAAAAUCUAAAUCAGCCUGUGCAGAGAUGAUCUAGAGAGAGAGGGAGAAACAGGAAACUAAGGUGUUUAAAUCCUGGGUGGGGCUGUGGGCCCAAGUGCUCCAGAUCUACGCAGCUAAUUAGUGCCUCAUCACCUCGAAAGAGAGAAAUGCAGUUAGUAAUACCAGUCCUCUCUGAACAGGGUCGUCACAAGUAGUUAAUUAUUCCCCUCUUAAAGAACUGACUGAGGUCUUUCCCUGCAGUUAAUUGGUGUUGAAUAUUAACAGACCUCUUCUUGAUAAGUGUUGUAACACUUUCAAAUCCCAACCCCCCAAAAGAAUGUAAGGCUAACAUCUGCUCACCGGAGACAAGAUGGUGUAAACCUUUAACACUAAAUCAUAGUCCCUCUACAACCUCCUGUCUCUAUACAAGAUAACCAAAGAAGCCUUUCCAAAACACAAACUGUCUAUCCUUUCUACUUCAAAGAGACAAAGACAUUGUUUAUGGCCUGCAGGAAAGAACUUCAGGACCACUCGAUCAGAUAAACGUCUGUCAUCACACCUUGAAUGGGAAGCCUCAGGUUUAUCAGCUCAGCCAUAAAUCCUACAUUUGGUUUAUCUUUCCUGUUCUCUCUGUGAGUACAAUCCAAAGAGAAUAACUACAACUAGUCUAAUUACAGGUUGCUUGGACACUACACCAUAAUUUUCUGUCAGUACUCAACAUGUGCAGUAAAACAGUCUUUGUCCCAUCUUCCUAUCAUGUUCAUAAGCCAAGAUCCCACACUGACAGAAUAAAUCCUUCAGUCUUAAAGUUUCUUGAGCUUAACAGCUUUCCAAACUGUUUCAUGAACUUUUCAGAGCUGAUAAGAUUUUAUGUCUGAAUUACAACACUAUUCUAGUAGGAAUAGUGUAGAAAUGUUUAGUUUAUCUCUUAAUCAUUUGUUUAGCUUGGUUUACCAGUAGGUAGUUAUACUGUUAGUUAAUAAUCUGAAUGUUGGUUCGUAGAAUCCAUUAUUAACUGUUAUGAAAUUCAUUCACAUGUGUUUACCCUUGUGUUAUUCACAGUUUCUAUGUGUUACUAUCUGAUUCAUUUCAGAGUACUUUAACAUGAUCAAUGUUCUUUGAAAAGUGAUACUCAAAGCAUAAUGAGAAUGUUCGUUAAUGAGAUUCUACAAUUCUUUAUAUGUGUUUAGCAUCAAAUCCUUUAUUAUGAACUAAGCAUUCUUUAACAUUUAUGAUCAAAUCAAAUCAAAAUAAAUUUUUAUUUAUAUAGCGCCAAUUCACAACAGUCGUCAUCUAAAGACGCUUUUCAAAGAACAAGAGCAGCUCUAGACCACGCUCAUUGUUUGAUGAUCGAGAACCAACCUAAGAUGGGUUUUGGCCCAUCUCAACUAACAUGAGUAGCAGUGGCAAGAAAAACUUCCUUUUAACAGGCAGAAACCUUGGGCAGGACCAGCCUCAUGUUAGACAGCCACCAUGCCACUGCUGGGUUGGGGAGGAAUGUAGAGAGAUGGAGGGAGAGAGAGGGAGAGAGAGAGACAAGAUAAGGGGAAGGAGAGAGAGAAUGAGUAAGGAGAGUGAGGGGGAGAGAGUAAGGAACAAGGGUGAGAGAGAGACAGGGGACAGCAGCAACAACAGCAACAACA